AAUAUUUCUUGUCAUCUAUAAAUAAUUUGACAGGGGAUGAUCUAGGGUUCUUUAUAGGCAUCUGAUAGGGAAUGAGGAUCCAGGGUUUCGGAGGGUGUUUCUCCGGCUUGGGUGUUGUAUCAUUCAUCACGGAAUUCAAAGCCAGGUCCCUACUUACUCCCGUGCCUAUAAGGCUGUCUCGACAGGGGGCAACAGGGUGCUGUGUGAUAGUCCACAUGUGUUUCUACUGCAUCACGGAAGGAGAUACAGACGUGACCUCCUAGGACAUGGGCAAAUGCUCAGGGCCAGCGGUAGCUCCAGUGAGCCCCUGAAGAAACUCACUGCUUCUACGAGCCUGACAUUUUAGACUCCACACAGAAGUGAGAUUGUGCAAUGUGUGCCUGGUCUAUUUGACUUAGCACAGUGUUCUCAGUGCUCAACCACUGUAGUUACAAAUGGCAGGGUCUAUUUUUGAGUUGACUCGGGGAAGGAAGAGACUCACAAGCUCUUGGCAGAU
rnacentral:sRNA from 1 species